rnacentral:misc_RNA from 1 species
CUCAAGGCUGUGAAGGACAUAUUUCAAGACAAAAGAGAAAAAUAUGAUGACUUUCUCGAGGUCAUGAAGGAUUUCAAAGCUCAAAGAAUUGACACGGCUGGGGNNNNNNNNNNAAGGAGUUAUUUAAAGGGCAUCGUGACCUAAUUUUAGGUUUCAAUACCUUUUUGCCUAAGGGAUAUGAGAUCACCCUCCCUUUAGAGGACGAACAGCCUCCACAGAAGAAGCCUGUUGAAUUUGAAGAAGCAAUUAA